AGGAUGAACGCUGGCGGCGUGCCUAAUACAUGCAAGUCGAGCGAACAGACGAGGAGCUUGCUCCUCUGACGUUAGCGGCGGACGGGUGAGUAACACGUGGAUAACCUACCUAUAAGACUGGGAUAACUUCGGGAAACCGGAGCUAAUACCGGAUAAUAUAUUGAACCGCAUGGUUCAAUAGUGAAAGACGGUUUUGCUGUCACUUAUAGAUGGAUCCGCGCCGCAUUAGCUAGUUGGUAAGGUAACGGCUUACCAAGGCAACGAUGCGUAGCCGACCUGAGAGGGUGAUCGGCCACACUGGAACUGAGACACGGUCCAGACUCCUACGGGAGCAGCAGUAGGGAAUCUUCGCAAUGGGCAAAGCCUGACGGAGCAACGCCGCGUGAGUGAUGAAGGUCUUCGGAUCGUAAAACUCUAGUUAAUUAGGAAGAAACAAAUGUAGUAAAGUAAACUAAUGCACGUCUUAGAACGGUACCUAAAUACAAGAAAACGCCAACGGCUAAACUACGUAG
rnacentral:rRNA from 1 species